UGGAAAUUGAGAGGCAAAAGACAAAGUGAAAAAGAGCAACAACAAGGGCUUUGGAAAGGAAAUUGAUAUAGCCAAAGUUCAGAGAUUGUAGGAAAAUCAGGUUCAGGUCUGAGCGGUCUCACCCAACGAGGAUGAACUUUGCCUAGUGACCGAGAUAUGCAGAGUUAUGGGUUCUAGGUUCUGUGAUGCGCGCCCAGCGAGAGAAGAACUUGCCUAAUAAUGGCUCACUCAGCGAUUUAUAAUCAGGAGUAGAGUUUUGUUGCUGUGAGUGGAAGAUAAUUAGGCAGUUUCCAAUCGACCUUGCUAUGGGUAUGUUUGCCCUUAAUUCGAACUCGAAUUGAGAUAGUGUAAUAUAUCUUACUUUGCAAAUGUAUGGAUAUAAGAGAGGUGUAAUAAUCAAACACUAUAAAUCCUAAGUUUGAUGUUGAUUAUGAUA